rnacentral:rRNA from 1 species
AUGGACUGUGCAACACGGGUACGUGAUCUCUUAAGGAGAUAUUGUGAGGCUUCGGGACAGAGGAUAAAUGUGAGUAAGUCUUCGAUUUUCUUUAGUAAGGGAGUUGCAGAAUCUCUUCGAAAUGAUGUAAAGGCUGUUCUGGAGGUUCGGAAUGAGGCGCUUUCAGAGAAGUACUUGGGCCUCCCAACCGAUGUAGGAAGGGCAAAAGAGGGCUGUUUCAGAUACCUAAAGGAUAGGAUAUGGAAGCAUGUU